CGGACGGGUGAGUAAUGUCUGGGAAACUGCCUGAUGGAGGGGGAUAACUACUGGAAACGGUAGCUAAUACCGCAUAACGUCGCAAGACCAAAGAGGGGGACCUUAGGGCCUCUUGCCAUCGGAUGUGCCCAGAUGGGAUUAGUUAGUAGGUGGGGUAACGGCUCACCUAGGCGACGAUCCCUAGCUGGUCUGAGAGGAUGACCAGCCACACUGGAACUGAGACACGGUCCAG
rnacentral:rRNA from 1 species